rnacentral:rRNA from 1 species
GACGAACCGUGCGAACGUUAUUCGGAAUCACUGGGCUUAAAGCGCGUGUAGGCGGAUGGGAACGUCGGAAUCUGAAAGCCCCCGGCUCAACCGGGAAGUGGAGCCGAAACGACCUGUCUGGAGGGGCGUAGGGGGACCUGGAACUUCCGGUGGAGCGGUGAAAUGCGUUGAGAUCGGAAGGAACGCCCGUGGCGAAAGCGAGGUCCUGGACGUCUUCUGACGCUGAGACGCGAAAGCUAGGGGAGCAAACGGG